rnacentral:rRNA from 1 species
UACAGAGGUCUCAAGCGUUGUUCGGAUUCAUUGGGCGUAAAGGGUGUGUAGGUGGCGCGCUAAGUCGGGUGUGAAAUUUCGGAGCUUAACUCCGAAACUGCAUUCGAUACUGGCGUGCUUGAGGACUGGAGAGGAGACUGGAAUUCAUGGUGUAGCAGUGAAAUGCGUAGAGAUCAUGAGGAAGACCAGUGGCGAAGGCGGCCUUCUGGACAGUGACUGACGCUGAGACGCGAAAGCGUGGGGAGCAAACAGG